GUCACAAACUCAUGAUAAUCCUCCUAACUC
rnacentral:piRNA from 1 species